UCUACGGGUGGCAGCAGUGAGGAAUAUUGGUCAAUGGGCUUACGCCUGAACCAGCCAAGUCGCGUGAGGGAAGACUGCCCUAUGGGUUGUAAACCUCUUUUGUCAGGGAGCAACGCCGGCUACGUGUAGCCGGACUGAGAGUACCUGAAGAAAAGGCAUCGGCUAACUCCGUGCCAGCAGACGCGGUAAUACGGAGGAUGCGAGCGGUAUCCUGUUGUAUUGGGUUUAAAGGGUGCGUAGGCGGAAUGCCAAGUCAGCGGUAAAAUCGCGGGGCUCAACCUUGCUUCGCCGUUGAAACUGGCUGUCUUGAGUGGGCGAGAAGUAUGCGGAAUGCGUGGUGUAGCGGUGAAAUGCAUAGAUAUCACGCAGAACUCCGAUUGCGAAGGCAGCAUACCGGCGCCCAACUGACGCUGAAGCACGAAAGCGUGGGUAUCGAACAGGAUUAGAUACCCGGGUAGUC
rnacentral:rRNA from 1 species